GGCAGCACAUGAAGCAGCAAUGCGGAUGGUGGCGACCGGCGCACGGGUGAGUAACGCGUAUGCAACCUACCUACAACAGGGGAAUAACCCGUUGAAAGACGGACUAAUACCCCAUAACACAGGGAUCCCGCAUGGGAAUAUUUGUUAAAGAUUUAUCGGUUGUAGAUGGGCAUGCGUUCCAUUAGCUAGUUGGUGAGGUAACGGCUCACCAAGGCAACGAUGGAUAGGGGAACUGAGAGGUUUAUCCCCCACACUGGUACUGAGACACGGACCAGACUCCUACGGGAGGCAGCAGUGAGGAAUAUUGGUCAAUGGGCGCAAGCCUGAACCAGCCACGUCGCGUGAAGGAAGACGGCCCUACGGGUUGUAAACUUCUUUUGUAAGGGAAUAAAGUGUAGUACGUGUACUAUUUUGCAUGUACCUUACGAAUAAGGAUCGGCUAACUCCGUGCCAGCAGCCGCGGUAAUACGGAGGAUCCGAGCGUUAUCCGGAUUUAUUGGGUUUAAAGGGUGCGCAGGCGGGAGAUUAAGUCGGCGGUGAAAUUUUGCAGCUCAACUGUAAAAGUGCCUUCGAAACUGGUUUCCUUGAGUGUAGAUGAAGUAGGCGGAAUUUGUGGUGUUGCGGUGAAAUGCAUAGAUAUCACGAGGAACUCCGAUUGCGCAGGCAGCUUACUAAACUACUACUGACGCUCAGGCACGAAGGCGUGGGGAUCAAACAGGAUUAGAUACCCUGGUAGUCCACGCAGUAAACGAUGAUUACUCGCUGUUUGC
rnacentral:rRNA from 1 species